rnacentral:rRNA from 1 species
CACGUAGGGCGCAAGCGUUUGUCCGGAAUUAUUGGGCGUAAAGAGCUCGUAGGCGGUCUGUUGCGUCCGCUGUGAAAACUCGGGGCUUAACCCCGAGCCUGCAGUGGAUACGGGCAGACUAGAGGUAGGUAGGGGAGAUCGGAAUUCCUGGUGUAGCGGUGAAAUGCGCAGAUAUCAGGAGGAACACCGGUGGCGAAGGCGGAUCUCUGGGCCUUACCUGACGCUCAGGUGCGAAAGCUAGGGGAGCGAACAGG